GACGAACGCUGGCGGCGUGCUUAACACAUGCAAGUCGAACGGAAAGGCCCUGCUUUUGUGGGGUGCUCGAGUGGCGAACGGGUGAGUAACACGUGAGUAACCUGCCCUUGACUUUGGGAUAACUUCAGGAAACUGGGGCUACUACCGGAUAGGAGCUCCUGCUGCAUGGUGGGGGUUGGAAAGUUUCGGCGGUUGGGGAUGGACUCGCGGCUUAUCAGCUUGUUGGUGGGGUAGUGGCUUACCAAGGCUUUGACGGGUAGCCGGCCUGAGAGGGUGACCGGCCACAUUGGGACUGAGAUACGGACCAGACUCCUACGGGAGGCAGCAGUGGGGAAUAUUGCACAAUGGGCGGAAGCCUGAUGCAGCAACGCCGCGUGCGGGAUGACGGCCUUCGGGUUGUAAACCGCUUUCGCCUGUGACGAAGCGUGAGUGACGGUAAUGGGUAAAGAAGCACCGGCUAACUACGUG
rnacentral:rRNA from 1 species